ACGAAUAGCCUUCUCGAAGGUAGUCCGUCUGCUAUACAUAAACUCCAGUACAUAAAAAUUGAAUGUAAUCAUGUAAAGCAUCUCUAAACUGAGUUUCUACAAAGCAUCUAAAGGUCUCGCAUGGAAGAAGAAGGCAGGGAAAUACGAUAAGUAAAGUGAAUGCAGAAUUCAGUGAAUCCAGAAUCUUUGGACGCACCUUGCGCUCCUUGGUAUUCCUCGGAGCAUGCCUGUGUGAGUAUCGCGAAAUCUUCAAAAUAAAUCUUGGUUCAUUCGAUUGAAUUUACUCGCACUGGAGGUAGCAGAUUCAUGUCUGAUCCAAACAAAAUUAUCACUCGGAUCUCAGUGAAAUCGGUUCCACUCGGCGUGAUAAGUAUCUCUCGCAGAGGACACCCAAAGAGGUGGCCGGGGUUACAGAUGAACCGAUUAAAAUAGUCUAUUCACUUAGACAAAUUUAUUGGAGAUGUGAUCUCAACUCAGGUAGGAAUACCCGCUGAUUUUUAUGAUUCAGUAAGCGGAGGA
rnacentral:rRNA from 1 species